GACGAACGCUGGCGGCGUGCUUAACACAUGCAAGUCGAACGGAAAGGCCCUGCUUUUGUGGGGUGCUCGAGUGGCGAACGGGUGAGUAACACGUGAGUAACCUGCCCUUGACUUUGGGAUAACUUCAGGAAACUGGGGCUAAUACCGGAUAGGAGCUCCUGCUGCAUGGUGGGGGUUGGAAAGUUUCGGCGGUUGGGGAUGGACUCGCGGCUUAUCAGCUUGUUGGUGGGGUAGUGGCUUACCAAGGCUUUGACGGGUAGCCGGCCUGAGAGGGUGACCGGCCACAUUGGGACUGAGAGACGGCCCAGGCUCCUACGGGAGGCAGCAGUGGGGAAUAUUGCACAAUGGGCGGAAGCCUGAUGCAGCAACGCCGCGUGCGGGAUGACGGCCUUCGGGUUGUAAACCGCUUUCGCCUGUGACGAAGCGUGAGUGACGGUAAUGGGUAAAGAAGCACCGGCUAACUACGUG
rnacentral:rRNA from 1 species